AUAGUGACAAUAAAUAACAAUGUAGGGCUCUUAUGGGUCUUAUAAUUGGAAUGAGUACAAUUUAAAUCCCUUAACGAGGAUCAAUUGGAGGGCAAGUCUGGUGCCAGCAGCCGCGGUAAUUCCAGCUCCAAUAGCGUAUACUAAAAUUGUUGCCGUUAAAAAGCUCGUAGUCGAACUUCGGCCUUUGCCGCCCGGUCCGCCUUUUUGGUGUGUACUGGAGCGGUGGAGGCCUACUUCGUGGUGAACGGCCAUGCUCUUUACUGGGUGUGGUCGGGAACCAUGACUUUUACCUUGAAAAAAUUAGAGUGUUCAAAGCAGGCUUACGCCCGAAUACAUUAGCAUGGAAUAAUAAAAUAAGACGUGCGUUCUUAUUUUGUUGGUUUCUAGGAUCGCCGUAAUGAUUAAUAGGGAUAGUUGGGGGCAUUCGUAUUCAAUCGCUAGAGGUGAAAUUCUUGGAUUGAUUGAAGACGAACUACUGCGAAAGCAUUUGCCAAGGAUGUUUUCAUUGAUCAAGAACGAAGGUUAGGGGAUCGAAAACGAUCAGAUACCGUUGUAGUCUUAACAGUAAACGAUGCCGACUAGGGAUCGGACGAGGAUUUUUAAUGACUCGUUCGGCACCUGAAGAGAAAUCUUUAAGUCUAGGUUCGGGGGGGAGUAUGGUCGCAAGGCUGAAACUUAAAGGAAUUGACGGAAGGGCACCACCAUGGUGUGGAGCCUGCGGCUUAAUUUGACUCAACACGGGGAAACUCACCAGGUCCAGACACGACAAGGAUUGACAGAUUGAUAGCUCUUUCUUGAUUUCGUGGUUGGUGGUGCAUGGCCGUUCUUAGUUGGUGGAGUGAUUUGUCUGGUUAAUUCCGAUAACGAACGAGACCUUAACCUGCUAAAUAGCCCGGCCGACUUUGGUUGGUCGCUGGCUUCUUAGAGGGACUAUCGGCGUUUAGCCGAUGGAAGUUUGAGGCAAUAA
rnacentral:rRNA from 1 species